GCGGCGUGCUUAACACAUGCAAGUCGAACGGAAAGGCCCUGCUUUUGUGGGGUGCUCGAGUGGCGAACGGGUGAGUAACACGUGAGUAACCUGCCCUUGACUUUGGGAUAACUUCAGGAAACUGGGGCUAAUACCGGAUAGGAGCUCCUGCUGCAUGGUGGGGGUUGGAAAGUUUCGGCGGUUGGGGAUGGACUCGCGGCUUAUCAGCUUGUUGGUGGGGUAGUGGCUUACCAAGGCUUUGACGGGUAGCCGGCCUGAGAGGGUGACCGGCCACAUUGGGACUGAGAUACGGCCCUGACUCCUACGGGAGGCAGCAGUGGGGAAUAUUGCACAAUGGGCGGAAGCCUGAUGCAGCAACGCCGCGUGCGGGAUGACGGCCUUCGGGUUGUAAACCGCUUUCGCCUGUGACGAAGCGUGAGUGACGGUAAUGGGUAAAGAAGCACCGGCUAACUACGUGCCAGCAGCCGCGGUGAUACGUAGGGUGCGAGCGUUGUCCGGAUUUAUUGGGCGUAAAGGGCUCGUAGGUGGUUGAUCGCGUCGGAAGUGUAAUCUUGGGGCUUAACCCUGAGCGUGCUUUCGAUACGGGUUGACUUGAGGAAGGUAGGGGAGAAUGGAAUUCCUGGUGGAGCGGUGGAAUGCGCAGAUAUCAGGAGGAACACCAGUGGCGAAGGCGGUUCUCUGGGCCUUUCCUGACGCUGAGGAGCGAAAGCGUGGGGAGCGAACAGGCUUAGAUACCCUGGUAGUCCACGCUGUAAACGGUGGGUACUAGGUGUGGGGUCCAUUCCACGGGUUCCGUGCCGUAGCUAACGCUUUAAGUACCCCGCCUGGGGAGUACGGCCGCAAGGCUAAAACUCAAAGGAAUUGACGGGGCCCCGCACAAGCGGCGGAGCAUGCGGAUUAAUUCGAUGCAACGCGUAGAACCUUACCUGGGUUUGACAUGGAUCGGGAGUGCUCAGAGAUGGGUGUGCCUCUUUUGGGGUCGGUUCACAGGUGGUGCAUGCCUGUCGUCAGCUCGUGUCGUGAGAUGUUGGGUUAAGUCCCGCAACGAGCGCAACCCUUGUUCACUGUUGCCAGCACGUUAUGGUGGGGACUCAGUGGAGACCGCCGGGGUCAACUCGGAGGAAGGUGGGGAUGACGUCAAGUCCUCAUGCCCCUUAUGUCCAGGGCUUCACGCAUGCUACAAUGGCUGGUACAGAGAGUGGCGAGCCUGUGAGGGUGAGCGAAUCUCGGAAAGCCGGUCUCAGUUCGGAUUGGGGUCUGCAACUCGACCUCAUGAAGUCGGAGUCGCUAGUAAUCGCAGAUCAGCAACGCUGCGGUGAAUACGUUCCCGGGGCUUGUACACACCGCCCGUCAAGUCAUGAAAGUUGGUAACACCCGAAGCCGGUGGCCUAACCGUUGUGGGGGAGCCGUCGAAGGUGGGACUGGUGAUUAGG
rnacentral:rRNA from 1 species